AGCAAGAAUAUCGCAGUGACAAUCUAACGAAGGCGAGGAAAGCCUUCACGAACAUUGCAAAAGGAACUGACGAUCUUGAUCGCAUGAUCUGCGUCCGCUCCUUUUGGGAUCGGUGUGGACAGAGAUGAAUAGACGAACACGCAAAGUAGACAUUUUUAUUGCUCUUUAUACCUGUGCUUACAGGUAUUUCGAUGAACUGAGAAAGUUGGUAUUAUUUCUCCGGGCGUGAGAGACAAAAGAAAAAGAGCAAGGAAAAAAAAAACCAGAAAAGUGCAGCAAGGCAGUGAUUUUAGAAAUUGGAAUGUAAAGAUAGGACACAUACACAUACGCGUUUAUAACAUUGAUUAAAUUAGGACUCGAGGCGACAAAGAAAGAGGGAGGGCAGUAAGGGUGAGUGUGUUUCAUGAUGUAUUGUAGUUGGCCUCCAGCUGUUCAAGAUGAAGGCUUUCCAGUACGUGCUGCGGGCCACACAGGUCCACUUGGGGUCGUGCUAGCAACCCGAUGGAUCGAGUGGUUGUCGCCUAGGUGAUUAAUUCCUUGCUUUCCGCCCUCCCACUGAUAGCUUUUCUUUCGUGCAUUUCCUUUUUGUCUUUUAUUUUCGUUCUUUAUGGCUUAAUUUUUUUUCGCCCGUGGUUUGUGUUUUUCUUUAUGCAUAAACUAGCCUCACUAGGUGCUGUCGACAUGUUGGGCUUUUUAUGGGGGAGUGUUCUGAGGGUGUCUGUCAGCAUGCGCUGAAAAAUAAUAAAAAAUUGUUUUUAAAAUGAGAAGACAAAAAAAAAAAAAAUCAGAACAGCUUCCCUGUUUUCACCUUUCUGUUCUUGUGGCUGCCGGGAAAAAGCAGUUUGUUCUGUCUUAAGCUUACGACAGGCUUGUCUCAUUUAUCUCUGUCUCCUUCCUCCAACCUUGUGCCUGUUCUUUCUUAUCCUUUUUCAAACCAUUUUCCCCAGCGCGAUUUUGCGCCCAGUUCGUGCCAUUUCUUUCUUCCUCCAGUACAGCUUUGCUUUUAUAACCACUUCCCAUCCCAUCUUUCACUGGGGUCUUUUUUUUUUUCUUGUCCUUUUUGUGUUUUCCGUUGUGUGCGGAUCUUAUCAUCUCUGCAAAUGUUAUGUUACUUUUCACUUCGUUCUAAUGCAUUUCCGAUCCGUUCUUUCCUGUGUAUCGCCAGUCGCUUUCAGAACUUUCAUUUUUUGAAAGCCUUCUGUUACUAAGUAAGGGUUGUUUGUCAAGUACCCUGUUACCCAGUGAUCUCAUCGAGCAUGUGGUAUCUAUAGGGCGAGGCGGAAGACAGAUUGCAGUAGGACAGUAAUAACUUGUGACGCCAGAAGGCUGUCUGACGGGACCUAAACUGCUUACAUAAUGAAUGAGACGGGUGACACAUUGCAUGCGACUUUAAACUGCGUUUGAGAAGUUACCUGGAACAUCAUAAAACAGCUGCACUAGAUGAAAGUCAUUCCUCCGAAUAAAGAUUUGUUUUUAAACUUGCGUACAUUGACAUAAGACAUAAGAGGAUUGAAACAUUGCAUGUAGAUGUAAACAUUCAAGCACGAACUUGUAUUACUGGACUGCUGGCAAACGCCAGUUAACUACUAAAACGAGGCAGGAGUGUACACAGCUUCCGGUUUAGUUCACAUUCUUUGUUUAGGCUCGCCGAGACUAACAGCGGAUCACUUCGCAAGAGGCUAAGCGUUGGUCUCGGCAGACAGCAAUCCACCUAUACUCAUCCAUGAUUUAAGGGUGUGGCAUUUGAUGUAGCGAUUGUGUGGACUGGAACACCUGUUGGCAGAUUCCAUAUCUAAGACUCUUUACAGUUUACACGACCUUGACUCCGCUCCGAGUUCUAAUCUGAUAUAUUGCAGCUGCAGCAGAAAGCUGUUUACACGUUUACAGAGCAUUCCUUACCACAACAUAGCAAUGCUCCCUUCUAGUGAUUUUUUUCCCUGAUUGAAAAUGUUUUGUCCAAGGAAAAGGUUUCUGACAUGUUAGCAUCGCUCAGACAACACCCCGUGACCUACAUUUUAAAGAUGGCGAAAUGUGUGUCUGCACCUCUUCAGUUUUUUUCCCAUCUACACCCACAUACCUUUCCUGGGUCCUCGAAAAAAUCGUCUCGUUUAAUUCUCAGAACAUGUUUGCUAUACGAGCUUUCAAUAAGUAAUUCCACCAGAAAGUAUUUCCAUACUAACUCCACUGCAAGUGGUCACGGUACUUCCAUUUGUUACGAGGUUUGUUUGUGUCUUUGGCUGACAAAUGUUUUUAUUUUUAUUUUUCUGCUGACGUCGCGGCCUUCGUCAGAGCCAACGCACCAAUCAGAUUGCAGCUGAGGCCCAACAGGUGUUGGAGUCGCUCCAACGAGGUGCAUUUCGACCUUCCCACAUACGUGCCCCAAAAAGAUUUUUUUUUUCUGUUGUGGGGACUCUUUUACAUCGCCCAGAGGCGGCAGGAAACUGUCGACCUCAACGCCACACGCUAUGUUGUCCGGCAACAAACAAAUCCCUGCCCACUAGCAUAGCUUUCAGCUUUUUCUCGUUGGUCUUGGCAUCAUUUACCCGGAAAAGAGCAUGUAAGGUUUGGGAUUUUUUUCCCCUCGUCUUCCUAAGGUGUUCCUGCAAGAUGUGCGAGGUUUCGCAUCCCUACACGCCCUGAAAGAGUUUCAAGGUUGCUGUGUUGACAAUACAUGCACUGCAUUGCAAGCUGAGCCCGGCCCUUCCUUCUAUAGUUCUUCGCCGAGCAAGUGUGCAUAUCACCGUAGUUAUUGCACAUCAUAAACUUGCCAAGGAUUUUGUUAUUUAUUGACGCCAACCCGUCGUGGUAAUAAUAACUCUAUAUCCUUGUCUUUCACCUCAUCUGCACAUUGCAGCUGCCGCCAAAAAUAAUCAUUAUUUGGAAAAUGCUGAUGAAUUUCACCCACGAGCUCAUGACACUGAGUAUUAAAAGCAGUUCUUUGAAAAUUAUACUAAUUUUUUAAUCUGAAAGGGGGUGUGAUCGUAUGUGUGUGCUCGCGGUGAAUAUAUAUUGAAUCAGAUUAAUUAUGGCCGUAUUAUUUUCAACAGCUGCUGCAGCAUCCUGUGGUUCAAGGGCAUGCUGCAUCGGGGAUCGCGCAUGCCUGAUGACAGGCGACUGUUGUAUCCCAACCAUUUACACCUACGAGUUAGUCCAGUCAGAUCCUCCCCUAGUUCGUGACGAGGUGCCCUCGCGGUGGCAGGCACAGGGAGCAGCCACCACCACAAGACCUGCUGGGCAUGUCGCCAUGGCCGGAAGUCAAAGGUCAGCAAGAAAAGUCGUUUUUUUUUUGUCCACGCACCUAAUCGCCUGAUGCCAGUUGUGUCAAUCUAAUUGACCAGACAACGAGUGUGAGGUGGCUGCAGCACAAAAACCGGUUUUUCUACCAAAAAACAUCAAAGAAUGUUUAACGAGUUGUCUUUCCCUCGCUUCUCUUUGACCUUUCUUUCUUCAUUCUGCUCCCUCCUCUCCUUUCACCAAGUUUUUAUUCUUAGCUUCUAGUGUUUUUCGAGGGAUUAUUCCCCUGGUGAAGUGAAAACUUUUUUUUUUUUGAGAAAAAAAUCUGACAAAGCAGGAAACUGCAACAGGACCAAUAUGAGAAGGACGCAGAAAGACCAUUUAUAUCAUAUCAGUUCAUGUCCCACUCACCGAUAAUUACAUUUGGUUGUAUUUACGUGAUUCACACCUGCUGUAGGUAAGUGAUAAGCAUUUACAGAUGUUUUGUGUUGCAACUGCGCUCACAGCUGUUGGCCCUGGAACGCAGUACCAUCUACAGAAGGCUAAACAACUGCCAUGGUUACUAAGGAGAAACAUGACCAAAUAUGGAGUCGACCUGAUAAAACUCAGGCGUCUUGAAACAGUAACAUUUGGCAGAUUUCCACGACAUGCUGCACCACAGCUCUUCCCCUCUGACAAUCUUACUGUCCUCAGCCAGCAAUAAUAAAAAAAAAACAACAACUCUGCAUGUGCAUGCUAAGUGUCUUGUCGUUGAGUUAGCAAGUACCCGACCAAGGCUUAUCAACAAUACACAGUAAUCAGCUUAUUUACUGUCUACCAUCUGGUUCAGUGUUUUCCUGUUCGCCAUCGCCUGAUCCGGGCUUAUUUUUAGGGCAGAACGCUCGUCGGGGAAAAACUCGAACUGAGUCGACAGUGUCUGUCGAGUGAUCAUUCGAGGAAAGGAAACCAUCUCUUGGCAAAAAUAUUUAUGGCCCUUAAAGCGGAUCUGUUUCGACGAAUCAUGCGACUGUUUUGUACAUGGCAGGACCAGCGAGGUCACUAAAGCUGGAGAAGAUUAUCGGGAUUCGUGCUUGUGAGAAUAAACAUUUCUUCUGCAGA